rnacentral:rRNA from 1 species
AUACGUAGGGUGCAAGCGUUAAUCGGAAUUACUGGGCGUAAAGCGUGCGCAGGCGGUUUUGUAAGACAGUGGUGAAAUCCCCGGGCUCAACCUGGGAACUGCCAUUGUAACUGCAAGGCUGGAGUGCGGCAGAGGGGGAUGGAAUUUCGCGUGUAGCCGGGAAAUGCGUAGAUAUGCGGAGGAACACCGAUGGCGAAGGCGAUCCCCGGGGCCUGCACUGACGCUCAUGCACGAAGGCGUGGGGAGCAAACAGGAUUAGAUACCCUGGUCGUCCACGCCCAAAACGAUGUCAACUGGUUGUUGGGGAUUUAUUUUCUCAGUAACGAAGCUAACGCGUGAAGUGGACCGCCUGGGGAGUACGGCCGCAAGGUUAAAACUCAAAGGAAUUGACGGGG